AUCUGUCUAUCUAUAUAUAUUUUUGUCCGUUAUGCCUUUGCUUCAAGUUCCCGUUGCGUUCCACAGCCGUCAUAUCCGUUUGCAUUUAGUGUAGGAGGCGGAUGUGGAUGCUCAAUGGAACGCAUGUGCGUUCCACAAACGAAGCACCCGAUCACAUAAUCGGUAAAACAGGAAUCUGAUGACGAACACAUCAAGAUGAACAGGAAGGCAAUUGCUUACACUAGAUGGAACGCAGGAUGCGUUGCACAGAGAAAAAUACCGCAAAUCUGUAGCAAAUGGACGGAUAUAAAAGAAUCACAGGGACUUUGAUGCACAGCAUACACCAACUGAGGAAGCCUAUUGGGCGAAACGCGUUUUGGUGACUAUUGGACUUUUAAUUAUGCUUUUGUUUUUUAU